rnacentral:lncRNA from 1 species
CUUCCACUCACGUGUUUAGUAUGUGCUCUGUGUUCUGUUAGGCCUUGAUUACUUCGGGCCUUGCCGAGGAGCCCAAAAGGUUGGGCUAUUACAUUUUAAAUCUCAUGAGGCUUGAAACCUAACCUUUUGCAUGUGCUGUGUCAACCUAAACUCAACUCGAUUAAGAAAUUGCAUAACCCAAACUUGAACCUUACUAAACCAAAUGAUGAAUUUUCAACACAA